rnacentral:rRNA from 1 species
UACGUAGGUGGCAAGCGUUGUCCGGAAUUAUUGGGCGUAAAGCGCGCGCAGGCGGUCCUUUAAGUCUGAUGUGAAAGCCCACGGCUCAACCGUGGAGGGUCAUUGGAAACUGGGGGACUUGAGUGCAGGAGAGAAGAGUGGAAUUCCACGUGUAGCGGUGAAAAUGCGUAGAGAUGUGGAGGAACACCAGUGGCGAAGGCGACUCUUUGGCCUGUAACUGACGCUGAGGCGCGGAAAGCGUGGGGAGCAAACAGG